GCCGCCUUAGCUCAGUCGGUAGAGCGGUUCACUCGUAAUGAACAGGUCGACAGUUCGAUUCUGUCAGGCGGCUCCA
rnacentral:tRNA from 1 species